rnacentral:rRNA from 1 species
CGGACGAACGCUGGCGGCGUGCUUAACACAUGCAAGUCGAACGGUGACGAGGAGCUUGCUCCUCUGAUCAGUGGCGAACGGGUGAGUAACACGUGAGCAACCUGCCCCAGACUCUGGGAUAACAGUUGGAAACAGCUGCUAAUACCGGAUACGAGACGGAGAGGCAUCUCUACCGUCUGGAAAGUUUUUCGGUCUGGGAUGGACUCGCGGCCUAUCAGCUAGUUGGUGAGGUAAUGGCUCACCAAGGCGACGACGGGUAGCCGGCCUGAGAGGGCGACCGGCCACACUGGGACUGAGACACGGCCCAGACUCCUACGGGAGGCAGCAGUGGGGAAUAUUGCACAAUGGACGGAAGUCUGAUGCAGCAACGCCGCGUGCGGGAUGAAGGCCUUCGGGUUGUAAACCGCUUUCACCUCCGGCGAAUUUGACGGUAGGAGGAGAAGAAGCACCGGCUAACUACGUG